UCGCUCCUACCGAUUUCGAGUGAUUCGGUGAACCUUCUGGACCGUAUAUAACCUUGAGUUAUGUAUGGGAAGUUAAGUAAACCAUAUCACUUAGAGGAAGGAG
rnacentral:rRNA from 1 species